AACGAACGCUGGCGGCAUGCCUAACACAUGCAAGUCGAACGAGACCUUCGGGUCUAGUGGCGCACGGGUGCGUAACGCGUGGGAACCUGCCCUUAGGUUCGGAAUAACUCCCCGAAAGGGGUGCUAAUACCGGAUAAUGUCUUCGGACCAAAGAUUUAUCGCCUUUGGAUGGGCCCGCGUUGGAUUAGCUAGUUGGUAGGGUAAAAGCCUACCAAGGCGACGAUCCAUAGCUGGUCUGAGAGGAUGAUCAGCCACACUGGGACUGAGACACGGCCCAGACUCCUACGGGAGGCAGCAGUGGGGAAUAUUGGACAAUGGGCGAAAGCCUGAUCCAGCAAAGCCGCGUGAGUGAUGAAGGCCUUAGGGUUGUAAAGCUCUUUUACCCGGGAUGAUAAUGACAGUACCGGGAGAAUAAGCUCCGGCUAACUCCGUG
rnacentral:rRNA from 1 species